UUGAUUCGCAGUGCUGCAUAAUGUCUAUUAACAAACUGGUUUUGAGGAAAUUUACAUCUUGAUAAAAUAACAGUAUAAUAAUAUAACAUAAUACAAAUCCAAGUACAUGGAUUAUCUGGACAAUGCUGCAUGAGGUAACUAUUCACAAGCAAUGAGCUUGCAUGACCUUGCCCAGAAAUACUCUUCUAUGUCAUGUAUAUCACAAGAGAUUCUUUUACUAGUCUACCAUGUAUUCUUCAAUACCCCACUUGUCUUACAAGUAAUGUUCCUACAUACCACCAACAUGCCAAUUCUAAAAGAAUAAGAAUUAUACAAAAGCUUAGGUUACAAGUACACUUCAUAUUGUUAUAUGCACAUUCAAGAAAAUGGCUUUUAAGUGGUUGGUUAUUGUUGUGAAGAGCUUGAUAUU
rnacentral:lncRNA from 1 species